rnacentral:rRNA from 1 species
UACGGAGGGUGCAAGCGUUACUCGGAAUUACUGGGCGUAAAGCGUGCGUAGGUGGUUGUUUAAGUCUGUCGUGAAAGCCCUGGGCUCAACCUGGGAACUGCGAUGGAAACUGGGCGACUAGAGUGUGGUAGAGGGUAGCGGAAUUCCUGGUGUAGCAGUGAAAUGCGUAGAUAUCAGAAGGAACAUCGAUGGCGAAGGCAGCUACCUGGGCCAACACUGACACUGAGGCACGAAAGCGUGGGGAGCAAACAGG